rnacentral:sRNA from 1 species
AUACGCCGAGCCGGUUUUUGAGCGCUAACGUCUUUCUGUCUCCCCGCGGUGGUGAUGACGGUGAAAACCGAGGCUGCUAAGGGCACCCUCACUUACUCCAGGAUGAGGGGCAUGGUGGCAAUUCUCAUCGCUUUCAUGAAGCAGAGGAGGAUGGGUCUGAACGACUUUAUUCAGAAGAUUGCCAAUAACUCCUAUGCAUGCAAACACCCUGAAGUUCAGUCCAUCUUGAAAAUUUCCCAACCUCAGGAGCCUGAGCUUAUGAAUGCCAACCCUUCUCCUCCACCAAGUCCUUCUCAGCAAAUCAACCUUGGCCCGUCGUCCAAUCCUCAUGCUAAACCAUCUGACUUUCACUUCUUGAAAGUGAUCGGGAAGGGCAGUUUUGGAAAGGUUCUUCUAGCAAGACACAAGGCAGAAGAAGUGUUCUAUGCAGUCAAAGUUUUACAGAAGAAAGCAAUCCUGAAAAAGAAAGAGGUAUGAGAUGUGCUUGAUGGGCUGGCAUUGGAGGUAGACACUGCUUGAAUAAUCUUAAUCUUGGAAUGUUGGUGCCAAGUUGAAACUUGCCAUUAAAUCUG